UUCUCUGUUCUCUACGUCUCCGUAAAAUCAGUUAGUGCUGGCAAUGCCUUCAGGAAGCCACAUGGAUGGACAGUCAUUUGAGCAUUGGCAGGAAAGCAGCAGCCUCUUCCUCUGUUCACACUUCACACACCUAUACAAACAGAAGCCAGGACUGAACAACUGGGAAGAAAAAAGGUAAAGGUAAAUGUGAAUGUAUUUCGUCAAUUUCUUUUGAGCGUCACCUGCAUCUUGACUGAAGCAUGACUUCAUUUUCUACUGAUACAGUCCAAGAUGGAGAGUUGAGACAGAGCUACAUCAAAAUCCAGGUGGAAACAAUCCCUGCCUAUGGUUUGCUAUCAUGGCAUGAAAAUUGUGAAAGUUACACGCAUAAACAAACAAAGAUUUGGAGUGGUCAUUCAAUCUAUGAAUAUCCAGAUGAUUUCCUUUCUUUCAACAAGAGUUAUGUGACCCACAUCGUUUUCAUGUUUUCAAAAGAAAUAAAAGGAUAUAUCUGAAGUCCUAGACAAAGUCAAGCUUUCAAAGCAGAGAAGACAAAAAUGCUAUAUAGUAAUUAUUUUCUGCAAUUCUCUUGACUG